GACUGCCUUAUUUUGUAUUGCCAAUUUAAUGAAUGAAAGACCAAUAGGCUUAAAACCUGGAUUUAGUUUGGAAUUAGGUAGCUAUCUCUGCCCAAAUGAUCUGUUACUUGGUCGAUCUAGCUGUCAUUGUCCUAUUGGCUUGUAUGAAAUUGAUGGAGAUCAUAAAAGGAGAUUGAGGUUUAUCCAAGAUAUUAUAAAUUCUUUUUGGAAGAAGUGGCAAAGGGACUAUUUCCCGUCAAUGUUGAUUAGACAGAAAUGGCAUACAGCCAAAAGGAAUGUGAAAGUAGGAGAUGUUGUUCUAGUGCAAGAUAGCAAUAUUGUAAGAGGGACGUGGAAACUGGCUCAAGUAAUUAGGGCUGACCCAGGACGAGAUGGGAUAGUUCGUGAAGUUGAUUUAAGAUAUAAAAUAAUAAAGGAUGGCAAAGGGUAUUAUGGUGAGGCGGAUAAGAUCAUGUGUAGAUCGGUACAUAGAUUAGUAAUGCUGUUGCCAAUAGAAGAACAAGUCUAAGCAUAUGUACCUUGUCAAUGUAAUCUAGUCCACAGUAGUCAAUGUCGAGGGGGGGAGUGUAUCAUUAGUAUGAUAGGUAUAUGAAAAUAGGAAUAUUUACGUUUAUUUGAUAAUUACGGGUGAGAUGUUACGUUGCGCAUCUCGAGUGUUUUUUGUUUACCCAUGAGCCCACGUAUGACGCAGCUGUGGAGGUUGACGCCUUGUGUGCGAAUCCACUUCGCAGGGAAUAUUUUUGUUUCGACCUUUCACAGAAGUGGCAGUUAUUGUGCACAAAUCUUUGUACUCAUGAAGCCAGUGUUAUGUCUAAUGGGCUGUGGAUAUGGGUUUGUGCCGUAACUGAGAUGUGAUGACAACUACUGGGAAUCAUGGAUUGUGAUAGUGUGGCCAUUGAAGUUGAAACUUUGCUCCAAUAAAAGACUGUUGCAGCUGAUGGCUUUUCCUUGAUCUCCCAGUAC